UACGUAGGGAGCAAGCGUUGUCCGGAAUCAUUGGGCGUAAAGCGCGCGUAGGUGGCCUCAUAAGUCCGCUGUGAAAGUCAAAAGGCUCAACCUUUGAAAGCCGGUGGAUACUGUGAGGCUAGAGUACGGAAGAGGCGAGUGGAAUUCCUGGUGUAGCGGUGGAAUGCGCAGAUAUCAGGAGGAACACCAAUAGCGAAGGCAGCUCGCUGGGACGUUACUGACACUGGAGGCGCGAAAGCGUGGGGAGCGAACAGG
rnacentral:rRNA from 1 species